rnacentral:rRNA from 1 species
AUAGGGAAUCAAGAAAGGAGGUAUGAGGUUCAGCUUCCUACCGAUGGUUUUGGUUCUGGAAAUGAGGUGAAGACACACGAGGUAAAAAUUGGAACGGAAUUUUAUCCAACGUGUGAGUGUACAUGCAACAAACCGAAGUUGUUGCACCUACCUUGCUCUCAUGUGUUGGCUGCCUGUGGGCAGAUUGAGUUGGAUGCUAUCUCCUUCGUGUCCCCAUACUAUUUAAAAGAGGCAGUGCUCAACACCUGGACAGGCGAGAUGACAGGGUUUAGAGUCGUCGGCAAUUUCAACAAGGUAAACGAAGGUGAGAGAGUAUAUAUCCCGCAUCCAGACCUUCGGCGAACAAGUAGGGGCAGACGGAAGGCCCGUCGCAUCCGGAACGAUAUGGACCAGUCUGAAGCUGGUGGAGCAACCAGGCAAUGUUUGUUAUGCGCGGCUUAUGGGCAUAGGAUGAAAUAUUGUCCCGACCUGAACAAAGAUGGUGCUUCCGCAUCGACGAGUGCUUCCACAUCGACGGCUGCGACAACAAGAGGAAGAGGCGGACGUGGUCGUGGCAGUCGAGGCCGAAGGGGCGGACGAGGAAGAAGUAAUAUGUCAGGACUAUGUUUUAAUUUGUAA